UACGUAGGGUGCAAGCGUUGUCCGGAAUUAUUGGGCGUAAAGAGCUCGUAGGCGGUUUGUCGCGUCUGCUGUGAAAACUCAGGGCUUAACCCUGAGUCUGCAGUGGGUACGGGCAGACUAGAGUGUGGUAGGGGAGAUCGGAAUUCCUGGUGUAGCGGUGGAAUGCGCAGAUAUCAGGAGGAACACCGGUGGCGAAGGCGGAUCUCUGGGCCAUAACUGACGCUGAGGAGCGAAAGCAUGGGGAGCGAACAGG
rnacentral:rRNA from 1 species